GGACAGAUGGCCGAGAUGGUUAUGGCGCCAGGUUAAGGUUAUACCUUAAUAUCAUGUGAUUCUUUCACAUUGUUGUUUCCUGGUCACGAAAGUGGCGUGGGUUCGAGUCCCACUCUGUUCA
rfam:Pseudogymnoascus sp. WSF 3629 unplaced genomic scaffold scaffold_89, whole genome shotgun sequence.